rnacentral:rRNA from 1 species
ACUCCUACGGGAGGCAGCAGUGGGGAAUUUUGGACAAUGGGGGAAACCCUGAUCCAGCCAUCCCGCGUGUGCGAUGAAGGCCUUCGGGUUGUAAAGCACUUUUGGCAGGAAAGAAACGUCAUGGGCUAAUACCCCGUGAAACUGACGGUACCUGCAGAAUAAGCACCGGCUAACUACGUGCCAGCAGCCGCGGUAAUACGUAGGGUGCAAGCGUUAAUCGGAAUUACUGGGCGUAAAGCGUGCGCAGGCGGUUCGGAAAGAAAGAUGUGAAAUCCCAGAGCUUAACUUUGGAACUGCAUUUUUAAACUACCGGGCUAGAGUGUGUCAGAGGGAGGUGGAAUUCCGCGUGUAGCAGUGAAAUGCGUAGAUAUGCGGAGGAACACCGAUGGCGAAGGCAGCCUCCUGGGAUAACACUGACGCUCAUGCACGAAAGCGUGGGGAGCAAACAGGAUUAGAUACCCUGGUAGA